UACGGGGGGGGCAAGCGUUGUUCGGAAUUACUGGGCGUAAAGGGCGCGUAGGCGGCCAUCUAAGUCAGACGUGAAAUCCCUCGGCUCAACCGAGGAACUGCGUCUGAUACUGGAAGGCUUGAAUCCGGGAGAGGGAUGUGGAAUUCCAGGUGUAGCGGUGAAAUGCGUAGAUAUCUGGAGGAACACCGGUGGCGAAGGCGGCAUCCUGGACCGGUAUUGACGCGUGAG
rnacentral:rRNA from 1 species